rnacentral:lncRNA from 1 species
UAUAUCCAUUCAUCAAUACAUAGAUACGGAUAUAACAUCAAAUUAUAUAGCCGAAUAGCUGUUGUCAUCUUCGGAAGGAGCCUUGGCGAAAACUGUAAAUAUUACGAAGGCUCCAUAUAAUAUUGUGACAACGGCUGUGAAGUUUACAAGGUAUGCCUCAGCACCAUAUUUAGCAAGGCCUGAGUUCUCAAGGAAUGUAAGCUUCUCCAGGAACCCUAUGGAGGCGUUGCCAAUGGCCAAGAUGUAUACAAACAGUCCCAACAGUACGUGCCAAGGAAGCGAUUCGCUUCUUAACCCGGCUGAUCCUCCAGGGUAGAAGAAGACGAGAAAGCCAUAUAUCCACUACAAAAUUACAUUUUCCCUUUCAAAAUCAUUUUCUAAAAGAGAACAAUUGCGUUCAUCAUGCUUAAAAAUCCAUGGAGUGUAAUAUCCAAACGAAAACAAAAAAGAAAAAUCCAUUGAGUGUUAUGAAUGAGCAAAUGGACUCACACCACAUAAUUCGUCAGAGCCAAGCCCAAUUGCUCAAUGGCAACCUAAGCUUAACCCUUCCAUUUGGGCUUCAAUAAGCCCAAUUUAAACCCAUGUGUGCUCUACCUCUGCUUGUAUAGCUUAUCACUAUAUAAUAAUUCCAGAAAAGAAAUGACAAGCAAAACAGGUUUAAACAAGUUAAUGGAAUGAGGUGAUUCUAUUACCUGAAUGCCAUAAAGAACAAUGAUUCCCAUCCCAAGCCAAGAAUGCAAGCUGUAGAGAUUGACUAUUGAACUCUCAUUAUGGUACUUGAACGCCGUAUAGAUACCAAUAAUGCCCAGAAUUAAUGCAAUGGCAUGGAGCACAAGAUGUAUCAACUUCUUCACAUCCUUACUCAGAGGCAAUGACUUGUAGCUCAUAAUGGCUGCAUUGUGUGUUGUUUGGAGCAUGGUUUAGUUUACUCAAUCCAGGAAAACGAAAUUCAGAAGCAAUAUAUUUUUUUAUCAACGGAAAAGGUGUGUUGGAUUACCUUCACCUCCCAAGAUGAUGAAGCCAAUCAACAUCAAUACAGGAUGGAGCUGCAGAAAGAGUAAAAUGGUUAGGCACAUUUGCAGCAAUAAUUAAGGACUGCCCGAAAUGUUUCACCUUUUUGCUUCCUUAUUACGUUAAGAAGGGGUAAAUCAUUCUAGGAUUCUUAUUAUGUUCAUAAGGGUAUUGAUAUUAUUCAAAGAAACCGAAGAAACAAACACUUAGAUGUCAAAAUUCCUGGUGCAUUCAACAUGAAAGAGACAUUGUUAAGAAGCCAGUCAAAAUAUUAAAUGUUCAGACAAUGAGAAAAAUUUGGAAUGCCAGUAAUUAUAAUUGAAAAUACUUCUAUAUUGAUCUUCAAUUUGUUUUUUCUUCUUUUCCUCCUUCCUCUUUUGGACACUGCAAAAGAGCUAAAGCAUGAGAGAGUGAUAACUUAGAUAAGUCCGAAACAAACAAGCCUAUCCACGGAAAUCAUGUGACAAACAAAUUUGAGGGCUCAAUUAAUUAGUUAAAUCCAAAGCAAGUAGAUGGAUACCCGGUUUAAUGCAUAAUACUACUAUAUAAUAAAUAUAAAAGCCUCACUAAUGACAUAAUUAAACCCAUAAUCAUAAAUUUGUAUAAGUUUUUAAUUCGAAUAUAUCAAGUCUCUCAUCCUUCUUGCUCCUCUCAACAUUAUUUAUUCUGAAAAUAUCAGAAACCACGUGGUAGGGUAUUAAUGUUUUGUAAAGUUCUCGAAAAGUUUCUGGCAUUUAUACAGAAAAUGCCAAAAAGAGGCACAAGAUAACCAAAAAAAAAAAAAAGAAUUCAAUUAUAAAAGAAGGGUAGGUAGGUCUUCUACACGACAGACACGGGGGUAAGUAUACCAAUAUAAUAUGUAUGGUUUCAGCCCCUGUUCUGCAUAGAUGAACAUUGACGACGCAGCACCAAAUUUGGCCACAACAAAGGGGAAUUUAGAACUAGCCCCAUGCUCCAGCCCCCAUUCAAUUGCCCAAUAACAAACCUUCCAAGUUGUUAGGUGAUACUUACGGAGCAGCCUCUUUGAAUAUGAAUUCGAAACUUUCGAAUAGCAAACAAGUUUAGGGUUGGUUACAGAAAUUGAGUAGUAGUAGUAUUUCUUUCUAGGGGAAUCAAAUGUAGCUCUAUCAUUCAAAGAAUUGUUCACCAGGCAAUAAAGAUAUAUUUAGUUGAAGACUUUAAAGCCUGGCAAUGAUCAAGAUAAUUUACAGGAAAAUUGAUAUGCGGCCGUGUCAAUUCACAAUUGACUGGCAUCCAGUACCCAUAGCAGCAAAAAAGGGAUGAUCAAAUAUGAAAUUCUAAAGAAUGAAACAACUUGCCUAGUGCCAAUUUGGAAAAAGGCAAAACCAAUACUCUCCUUCAUUAGUUUAGGGCUUAAAGUUUAAGAUUCUAUGAAAUAAUGGAAAAGAUAUAUGAUAGGGUGAGGGCAGAGUUGUAUUUCUACUGUAUAAAUUAUUAAUUCCAUUCGUCAAACUCAAUAACAAACAGCCAAAGGACCAUGAGUUUUCUGAUGGACAUGAACAGGGGUUGAGUGAAUGAAAUCACCCAAAGUCCCAAACCAAAAGAAUAUCAUCAAUGAUUUAAUCCGAGAGGAGAAACAGAGACCCAGAAACCAAGCAAAAUUCCACUGGAAGCCAUAACUGAGUUGAUAAAAUCAAAUAAAAAUUAAAAAAGAAAAAGAAAAAAUUGAUAGAACACCCUCCCAUCACACACACACAACAUGAAAGAAGAAAGAGAAGAAGAAAAGAAAGGGAGACUAAAAACUUACAUUAAAGAUAAGAUUUUUGUUUGAAGAAGCCCAAGCUAAUCCGCCUCUGAAGUAUAUGCACCAAACCAAUACCAUAACAGCAGCGGCAACCGCAAGCGCGUGCGGCACAAUCGUCAAAUGCAAUGCUCUAAUCGCCAUAUUCUCUCUGUCUCACGCUCUGUUUUUCUUCUUCUUCUUCUCCUUAGCUGUUUUAGACGACAGAGUGAAUCAAAAACUGCGCAGCAAUAGGAUUUUGAUAAAUAAAUAAAAAAAGGAAAAGACCUUGUAAUUAUAUCAUUUCCAGAUUUGACUAAUUGGCUUAUGCCUCCUGUCCUGUUGUUUCAACCAGUUGUUCCUGGAGAUAAGGACCGUUGGAUGGAGAUCUUUGAUUCUCUUGGAUUGAUGCCACGUGGCGUGGGUUUCAAUGGAUUGAUGGAGUUUCGUGUAGCGUGCAUUCGUAGUCGCUUCGUGUCUCAUCCUCGGGCCUUGGGCUUCACUUACCUCCCCUAUCCUACGCCUUAAAUAUUCAUUUUUCAAAAGCUGCAUAAAUCUAAAAUGAUUAGGGAACGAAGUUCAAUUUCAAUCAUCCAAUGGCAACUUUACAAAAAGUGUAGUAGUACUGAUCUCCUCUGCCAGCCCUUUUGUAACCAAUCCAAGUAACGUCGUAUUGCCUUUGAUUUGCGCACGGCCAGGCGACCACCUCGUCAUCCUUUAUUCCUUUUGCUCUUGGUUUGAAUUUCAAGUCCUAAGAUUCCAUUGAAAUUUAACAAAUACAUUUGACGGAAGGCCUGGAAACAACAUCGUCUUUAUACUGUUUAUUGUAGGAUAGCAUCGUGAUGGAAAAUUUGCAGAGGCCCAGAGGGAAUGGAUAAUGGAUUGGAACCACGUAGAGGUGAAGUCAUGUAUGACAUCAUAAUAUAGGGAUCAAAAUCAAUAGGAAUCCAAUCUUAUUACUUGUAAAGCAAGUUCUUAGCUUAGCAUCUCAUACUUAAUUGGUGGGGGGAAUGAAAAUAAUGGCCAAGUUUUUGUCGGCUUAGUUGAAUGUUGUGGUGAAGGACCCCACUUUGUUCUUUCCAGUCUUCAAUGUCUAUCAGUAUCCGGGUCCCACUAUCAUUAACCCGAGUUUCUUCUUCAUGUUAAUAUAGUAUGAUUUGUUAGUGUUGGAUCGCCAUUGGAUAAGCAUGUUUAUGGUGUGUUAAUUACGGUUAUGGUAAGAAAUUGUAAAGGUGCUACGUUAAUAUUUUGGCCUGGUUAAAAAGGAAUAAAGACUAAAUAGAGAAGCAAUUUUUACGAUGGAAGUCGUAAUAAGGUCUAUGUACAUACCGACGAAGCUAAUUUCGAACUCAAUUCCAAGACCUAACGCGGUAAAAGUUUUGAUUUAAAACUGUAAAUAUUACGAAGGCUCCAUAUAAUAUUGUGACAACGGCUGUGAAGUUUACAAGGUAUGCCUCAGCACCAUGUCUAGCAAGGCCUGAGUUCUCAAGGAAUGUAAGCUUCUCCAGGAACCCAAGGGAGGCGUUGCCAACGGCCAAGAUGUAUACAAACAGUCCCAGCAGUACGUGCCAAGGAAGCGAUUCGCUUCUUAACCCGGCUGAUCCUUCAGGGUAGAAGAAGACGAGAAAGCCAUAUAUCCACUGCAAAAUUACAUUUUCCCUUUCAACAUCAUUUUCUAAAAGAGAACAAUUGCGUUCAUCAUGCUCAAAAAUCCAUGGAGUGUGAUAUCCAAAAGAAAACAAAAACGAAAAAUCCAUUGAGUGUUAUGUAUGAGCAAAUGGACCCACACCACAUAAUUCGUCAGACCAAGCCCAAUUGCUCAACGGCAACCUAACUCUUCCAUAUGGGCUUCAAUAAGACCAAUUUAAACCCAUGUGUGCUCUACCCCUACUUGUAUAGCUUAUUACUUUACAAUAAUUCCAGAAAAGAAAUGAUCAGCAAAACAGGUUUAAAAAAGUUAAUGGAAUGAAGUGAUUCUAUUACCUG